UAAAUGACUUCCUGAGCUUCAAUUUCACAGACAAUACAUUACUCCAUCAUACCCACUAUCAAAUUGAUAGAGUUCUCCUAGUGUUUUUAAUUAGUAAUAAAACACUAUUACUAGUCACAACACUAGAGAAUUCUCACUACGAGACAUUUACUAGGAAAAAUUUAUAUUAAAUUUUGAAUAUCAAAACAUUAGGAGAAGCCUACAUCACUAAGAGAAAUUGAAAUUUUUGGUUGUGACCGUUAGUAAAAAGAACAUCAUCAGCACUCCAUAGGAUUAGGAACCAACUUAUUGCAUGGAAGGCAUUGUCGCAUGCAUACUCUCCUUGCAGUUUGUCGUUAUGACUUCAUCUUGCGAAGCCAUUUCAGAGGGUCCUCAAGCUUAGAAGACUCUUGGUCUGAAUCGCAUAAUAAAACACCUCAAGCCAAUACCAUGCACUUGUACACCUUGACGUCCUUGCAGUAGCAUGUAUACUGGUUUGGCCUAUGCAAACAGACCAAACUCAGCAAGACAAAACAUGCCAUAGCUAUCCAUCGCACCUGUUGAAUAGAAUUCGCCUUGGGAGCAAUUUACUGGAAGGAAAUCAAAUAUCAGUGCUCACCCUGUAGCAGUAGGUUCAGGCUGUCAGGGACUGCUGGCUCUCCAGUUCUGAAAACAAUCUGCAAGAACUAUUUUUACAAAUAUAUAACUCCAUGAUAGGCAAGCAAUGGAGAAGAAAAGAAUGUAGAUUAAUGUUGAAGCAUGUAUCCUUGAAACAUGGAGUUACAGGAAUAGGAAAUACAAUAUGUAACUAGUGCUCAAAAGAUAUCGUCUGUUCGGCGAAGUCAUUGUAUAUUGUUGUGCAGAUUUAACGAACUCCAUUUGAAGCGUGUAUCUU
rnacentral:lncRNA from 1 species